UAACCCGUCUACAUUCAGAUCAAACUUCUGAAAUAAUUGGUGCCAAUUUGUAAGUUUGUGUUAGAUAUCUAAUAUCCUAAAUAAAGCUAUUUGGUUGGCUGAGCAAAGAUAUCUUAUCUCCAAUUCAUAAGUUAAAAAAAAAUGAUGUACGAAUAUGGUUGACGACUUGACUUGUUGUCGGAAAUGCGUAGGAUCCAAAAAAAGUCAACCAGAAACAGAACUUGACUCUGAUUGUGAAUCCAGUAAUCAGAACAGAGGAACAGUAUUGAAUAAAUAUUAAAAUGGGAGAGUACUUGGUAACUGGAGGGACAAGCUUUAUAGCCUCUCACGUUGUAAAGGCACUUCUUGACUUGGGCCAUUCCGUAAGAACAACUGUUAGAGACUCCUCAGGUGCGGUAGUGAAGAAGGGAGAGAUAUGCCUCAUAGCUUGGACACAAGAAAGAUACAUGAACUUGGCUUUGGGUCCUUCAAGUCAUUAGCUGAGAUGUUCGAUGACUGCAUCAAGUGUUUCCAAGACAAGGGUCUACUCUGAAACCAAACCGCUAUCGUUAUCAGGAAAUCAAAGUGAUCCAGCUUAUGUUGAUCUUUUAAAGUUUAUUCAGACACUAAAUAAUCUACUUGUCUUAUGAUUCUGCA